rnacentral:rRNA from 1 species
UACGGGAGGCAGCAGUGGGGAAUAUUGCACAAUGGGCGAAAGCCUGAUGCAGCUAUGCCGCGUGUAUGAAGAAGGCCUUAGGGUUGUAAAGUACUUUCAUCGGGGAGGAAAAACAAAACUAAUAAUUUUAUUUCUUGACGUUACCCGAAAAAGAAGCACCGGCUAACUCCGUGCCAGCAGCCGCGGUAAUACGGAGGGUGCUAGCGUUAAUCAGAAUUACUGGGCGUAAAGAGCACGUAGGUGGUUUUUUUAAGUCAGAUGUGAAAUCCCUGGGCUUAACCUGGAACUGCAUUUUGAAACUGAAAUACUAGAGUAUCGUAGAGGGAGGUAGAAUUCUAGGUGUAGCGGUGAAAUGCGUAGAUAUCUGGAGGAAUACCUAUGGCGAAAGCGGCCUCCUAAACGAAUACUGACACUGAGGUGCGAAAGCGUGGGGAGCAAACAGGGAUUAGAUACC